AGCGAACGUUAGCGGCGCGCCUAACACAUGCAAGUCGCACGAGAAAGGGAGCAACCCCCGGUACAGUGGCGCACGGGUGAGUAACACGUAGAUGACCUUCCCUGGAGUGGUGGAUAACCUGCCGAAAGGCGGGCUAAUACAGCAUGGGACCACAUGGUUUUGACCGAGUGGUGAAAGCGGGCCUCUGUUCACAAGCUCGCGCUCUGGGAUGGGUCUGCGUCCCAUCAGCUAGUUGGUGAGGUAAUGGCUCACCAAGGCAUCGACGGGUAGCUGGUCUGAGAGGAUGACCAGCCACACUGGAACUGAGGCACGGUCCAGACUCCUACGGGAGGCAGCAGUGGGGAAUCUUGCGCAAUGGGCGAAAGCCUGACGCAGCGACGCCGCGUGGGUGAUGAAGGCCUCGGUUGUAAG
rnacentral:rRNA from 1 species